UACGUAGGGAGCAAGCGUUGUCCGGAAUCAUUGGGCGUAAAGCGCGCGUAGGUGGCUUCGUAAGUCCGUUGUGAAAGUCAAAGGCUCAACCUUUGAAAGCCGAAUGGAUACUGUGUAAGCUAGAGUACGGAAGAGGCGAGUGGAAUUCCUGGUGUAGCGGGUGGAAUGCGCAGAUAUCAGGAAGAACACCCGUGGCGAAGGCGGCUCUCUGGGGACGGUACUGACGCUGAGACGCGAAAGCGUGGGGAGCGAACAGGGAUUAGACUAC
rnacentral:rRNA from 1 species